rnacentral:lncRNA from 1 species
AAACCGGGAUUCCCCUUUGGCCAUCUCUCAUUCUUUCAAUUCUAAAGAUGGAGACUGGCGAACGGCGAUGGGGUCUGCGGUGGGCGGUGUUUCGUCGCGACAGACUCUAGGAAAUUUCACGAUAGAACUAGCUUUAGGCGCUUGAGCCUUGCCGUCUUUUUGGGGUGUGGCCUGUCUCCGUCUGCCAAAGGCUUUGAGCUUCCUGGUGUUCAUCGUACCUCCGCUUGGUCCUGUCGUGACUAAACCACGACAGCAGGAAAAAAAAAAAAGCAGCUAGCCAAGUUGCUGAGGAAUUACGGUGUGCAGAGCCCUCGCAGCUCCUUCUCUUGGGAACUCCUGGUCUGGUUAGGUUCUCAGCGAGGAAACAGCCUCCCACCCCGCCCGAUUCCACCUAAUUAACUCAAGGGCCAGCUCCUUUUGCUGGCCUCCCUGCUUCCACGGAGCAGUUAGGCCCGCCUAAACUCAGCGAGCGUUUCUGGAGCACCUUGAGGAUAGGGACCAAGUAACAGAGUCCGGGUGUUAAGGUUAUGAUAGUAGUUAACGUUUUUGGAAAGAGACUGUGUCAGGCUCUGUGCUAAGAACUUUACAUGAAGUAUUUAUUCCUCAUGACUGUGAGCUCCUCUAGGACACUGAAAAAGCAUCCUAACAUGCUCAAGACAGGAUAGGAAAUGGUCCUCUGGCUUGAAAGACUCAGCAUCCAGAAGUAGUACCUCACUCUCCAUCCAGUGGUCACCCCCCAGAAAUGUGCUCUCCAAGUCCCUUAAUCUUUGCCCCUGCCUUCCUGGUGCUGUUGCCAGGCUGAGACCCUGGUUGGAGGAAUAGUGCCUGCAGCUACAGCAACUCAGGCAGCCUAGGAUGACUGCCAGGAUGCAUGAGGGCUGCCAAUACCAACUACUGGGGAGAUGAUUGUCAUCCCUGUGGAGGUACUGGAGAAGGUUGGUGGGGGAAGGUGGAAGAGAGGAAAUAAGGCAGAGAUGAGCUCAGGGUCCCCAGAGAAUGGAGCCUUUGUGUGGGGUAUAGAUGAGGGACAAGGGGGUGAUUGUGUGGGAGGGCCGGAAGUGCCACACGGACUGGCACCACCAUAGCCAGCACCAGAUUCACCCUUCUCCUGCUCUGAGAACUCCCUGUGCCUCAAGGAGCCGGUACCAGACAUGGUCAGGGGACGCAGGGUAUGCCUGAACACUAUAAAGGAUGGGAAGGUAGAAAAGCAGAUGUAUAGCCUGGGGAAAAUGAAAGGUAUCCCCGCAUUACCCCAGACCCAGGGAACAGGAGGCCGAAGGAAAAAGACAGAAGCAGCUUUUACUAUAUUUACAUCCAACAAAACUUCGCAGGGAACAAUCCUUAUUGCACAGGUCAGGACCUGGGUGGGUGAGGCAUUCCCCAAGGCGGGGCAGGCAAGAAAAAUUAGGACUGGAGGGGGCACCAGUUCUUCCUAAGGGGAGCUUGAGACUCCUCUAGCUCCCAGUGCCUGACUUUGAAGGAACUACAAACCACCGGACCAUGGUGCCCUAUUUCCCUUCCCUUUCUCACUCUCCAUAAGAACCUCAUAAGCAAGGGGGCUGUGGCUCCAGAAUAAAUAAUUUAAAAUAAAAUACAAACACUUAGGUAGAAAGGCAUGGAGAGCCUUGGGCUCCUUCAGCAACGUCAGGGAAGAGGGACCAUUAUUGGUGGAGAAUGACAUCCCUACCUCCCAUUCAGGGCAAAGGCUCAGUAGCUCUGCAUCUUUCCAGUUGUUUUUUAAAA